GAAGAAUUCUAUGGCCCCAACACAGUGCGACCCGGGGAGGCGGCAUAGCAAGUGGAUUUCAUUUCUCUCUCUUAAUUUCUUGACUUGUUUACGCCGGAGAUUAAAUAUGUAACUCGGACGGUUUGGACAGGUCGUGUCGAUGGAUUGCGUUUCAACACCCCUCCAAAGUAAAAGACGCCGGGAAGAAGGGACUGUCUGGGAAUGUGAAGCGAAAAGAGCGCGCACCGGGACCAACGGCUGCACGCAGGUUGGAUGUGGCGCCGUUGCGGAAGUUGCCAUGGUCACAUGGGACACCCGGCAUCAACAGGGCUUCCAGAAUGGCCCCCGGCGCCUUCCCAAUGACGCGGGUCUACCUGAAGGCCGGGGUCCCGGCCAGCAGUGCGUGAGAUGCAUGGCAGGGGAAUCGGGGCACAUUAACCACAUCAUGGGCUAUUGAUCGGCUCCAUCUGCAGCGUGGUGAAAUGGAUCUUCAGCGGAAAAUGACUGGCCAGUUUUCCCACACGACCGUGUUUUUGUGGUGUGUUCUUUCAUAUUCAGUGCCUUGCCUACUCCAUACUAUAUCUGUGUUGCUAUUUUACCACAUUUAGGUGAUCUAGACACUUGCGUUUUAACAUAAUAGUAAAAAAAAAUAGUUUGCACAACGUAAGCCACAAUGUUCGAUUUUCUUAAUAAAAACCUUUUUAAUAAUAGAAAAUUGAGGAGG
rnacentral:lncRNA from 1 species